rnacentral:rRNA from 1 species
UACGUAGGGGGCUAGCGUUGUCCGGAAUCAUUGGGCGUAAAGCGCGUGUAGGCGGUCCGGUAAGUCCGCUGUGAAAGUCGGGGGCUCAACCCUCGGAUGCCGGUGGAUACUGUCGGGCUUGAGUACGGAAGAGGCGAGUGGAAUUCCUGGUGUAGCGGUGAACUGCGCAGAUAUCAGGAGGAACACCAAUUGCGAAGGCAGCUCGCUGGGACGUUACUGACGCUGAGGUACGAAAGCGUGGGGAGCAAACAGG